UUUCUACUCUGUGUCCAAGUGUUGAAUUCCUCCUACCCUGUGAGAGGAUGACUACCCAGAAAUGACCUCUGGGGUUAUCUUGGACUUGAAUGGUGCAGAGGUAACAACUGAUGGUGUGGAGCCUACAAAUGAAUGUGAAAAGCAACAGGUCUUCCCCCGCCAGUCUCCCUUGCAGCAACCCCGCAGGAAGGCAGUGAGAUGAAAAGCCAGAAGGCUUCACAACAGAUGGAAGUUACAGAAGAAGACCAAUUUGGGAUUGAUAGCAGGAAAACCUCUUUCUAAAUACAGGCAUCUGCACAUAAAAAGAUAGCCCACCCUACAGGUUUCUUACUUCCUGGUCACAAAAUGGCUGCCGAAGUCCAUAAGCUAAAUCCUAAUGUGAGUGAACAUGAUCAAGGAUUCAUGACUACAACCCCAAAAUACGGCACUUCUGCCUGUGUGGAAACAACAGAAGCAGGAAGAUUACUCUCAUUUUUCUCUGGCCUUUUUCCCUUGAAGCAGACUAUAAAGAAGAAUCUGACCUUCCUCUGAAGGAAACCUUCAUUCCAGACAUACCCUCCCUAUAUCCAAAGAACAUCUUUAUCUUUAAAGACACAGAGAUGUCAAGAAGAAUCUGAACAAACAGGCUUUGCCAGAUCCCCCAGUUUACUAAUAUUGAACCAUACUCUUUUGUUCUUCAAUCAUACUUCUGCAUGAUGUCCAUAAAAAUACACAGUUUUCCCCAUUCCUUUUGGGUAUUUAUUCCCGAAAGCUUCUGUGUCAUGUAAAACUUACAUUAAAUAAAUUUGUAUGCUUUU
rnacentral:lncRNA from 1 species